rnacentral:rRNA from 1 species
GACGGGGAAGGGCUAGCGUUAUUUGAUUUGAUUGGGCGUUAAAACAUUUGUAGGCGGAUGCCUGGAAGGAAUAUAUAUAAAAGACCUCUAAUUUAUAAAUGAGGGGAUAGUAAUUUUAUUCCGAGGUAUUUAAAAAUUUAUUUUUUAAUUAAUAAAUUUAAAAAAAUCUUUGAAGUUUUAAAAAAAGGAUAAUAUGUACUCUUAAGGGAUCAAUAAAUGAUGAGAUCUUGAUGCCGGGAUCUCACAAAUGGCAAAGGCAUAUUAUCUAGUUUAUAACUGACGCUGAGAAAUUGGGAAGUGUGGGAGCAAAUGUGG